rnacentral:rRNA from 1 species
UGGGGAAUUUUGGACAAUGGGCGAAAGCCUGAUCCAGCAAUGCCGCGUGUGUGAAGAAGGCCUUCGGGUUGUAAAGCACUUUUGUCCGGAAAGAAAUCCUUGGCUCUAAUACAGUCGGGGGAUGACGGUACCGGAAGAAUAAGCACCGGCUAACUACGUGCCAGCAGCCGCGGUAAUACGUAGGGUGCAAGCGUUAAUCGGAAUUACUGGGCGUAAAGCGUGCGCAGGCGGUUUGCUAAGACCGAUGUGAAAUCCCGGGCUCAACCUGGGAACUGCAUUGGUGACUGGCAGGCUAGAGUAUGGCAGAGGGGGGUAGAAUUCCACGUGUAGCAGUGAAAUGCGUAGAGAUGUGGAGGAAUACCGAUGGCGAAGGCAGCCCCCUGGGCCAAUACUGACGCUCAUGCACGAAAGCGUGGGGAGCAAACAGGAUUAGAUACCCUGGUAGUCCACGCCCUAAACGAUGUCAACUAGUUGUUGGGGAUUCAUUUCCUUAGUAACGUAGCUAACGCGUGAAGUUGACCG